CCCCUAGAUGUUCUGGGCCGCACGCGCGCUACACUGACGAAUGCAACGAGCUUAUAAUAACCUUGGCCGAAAGGUCUGGGUAAUCUCCAAAUUUCGUCGUGAUGGGGAUAGAUUAUUGCAAUUAUUAAUCUUCAACGAGGAAUGCCUAGUAAGCGCAAGUCAUCAGCUUGCGUUGAUUACGUCCCUGCCCUUUGUACACACCGCCCGUCGCUCCUACCGAUUGAAUGGUCCGGUGAAGCGUUCGGACCGUGGCCUUUGGACGGUUCGCCGUCUGUUGGCUGCGGGAAGUUCGUUAAACCUUAUCAUUUAGAGGAAGGAGAAGUCGUAACA
rnacentral:rRNA from 1 species